CCUACGGGAGGCUGCAGUGGGGAAUAUUGCACAAUGGGGGAAACCCUGAUGCAGCGACGCCGCGUGAGUGAAGACGUAAUUCGUUAUUUAAAGCUCCAUCAGCAGGGAAGAAAAUGACGGUACCUGAGUAAGAAGCCCCGUCUCACUACGUGCCAGCAGCCGCGGUAAUACGUAGGGGGCCAGCGUUAUCCGGAUUUACUGGGUGUAAAGGGAGCGUAGACGGCAGUGCAAGUCUGUAGUGAAAGGCGGGGGCUCAACCCGCGGACUGCUCGGGAAACUGUAGUGCUGGAGUGCAGGAGAGGCAAGUGGAAUUCGUAGUGUAGCGGUGAAAUGCGUAGAUAUGAGGAGGAACCCCAGUGGCGAAGGCGGCUUACUGGAGUGUAACUGACGUUGAGGCUCGAAAGCGGGGGGAGCGAACAGGAUUAGAUACCCCUGUAGUC
rnacentral:rRNA from 1 species